UACACAAUAUGAAGGCGGGCUGGACACCCUCCAGCCGGGCACUGCUUCACGGCGUGCGCGGCUGGAGCCGGCCCUGCUGAAUUAUUCACCCGUGUCUUUUGCGUACUUCUUGUUUCCUGGGUGGGCUCGCCCGCCAUCAGGACCAACCAUAAACCUUUUUGUAAUAGCAAUCAGCGUCAGUAACAACGUAAUUAAUUACAACUUUCAACAACGGAUCUCUUGGUUCUGGCAUCGAUGAAGAACGCAGCGAAAUGCGAUACGUAGUGUGAAUUGCAGAAUUCAGUGAAUCAUCGAAUCUUUGAACGCACAUUGCGCCCUUUGGUAUUCCAAAGGGCAUGCCUGUUCGAGCGUCAUUUGUACCCUCAAGCUUUGCUUGGUGUUGGGCGUCUUUUGUCUCCAGCUCGCUGGAGACUCGCCUUAAAGUCAUUGGCAGCCGGCCUACUGGUUUCGGAGCGCAGCACAAGUCGCGCUCUUGCCCAGCCAAGGUCAGCGUCCAGCAAGCCUUUUUUCAACCUUUGACCUCGGAUCAGGUAGGGAUACCCGCUGAACUUAAGCAUAUCAAUAA
rnacentral:misc_RNA from 1 species